CCCUUAGAUGUUCUGGGCCGCACGCGCGCUACACUGAUGCAUUCAACGAGUCUAAAACCUGCUCUGAUAGGGGUGGGUAAUCUUUUGAAUGUGCAUCGUGAUUGGGAUAGAUGAUUGCAAUUUUUCAUCUUCAACGAGGAAUGCCUAGUAAACGCAAGUCAUCAGCUUGCAUUGAUUACGUCCCUGCCCUUUGUACACACCGCCCGUCGCUCCUACCGAUUGAAUGAUCCGAUGAAUAUCAUGGAUUGAAGAUGCAAGCAGGUUCGCCUGUCUUCAUCUUCGAGAAGUGAAGUAAAUCUUAUCAUUUAGAGGAAGGAGAAGUCGUAACA
rnacentral:rRNA from 1 species